AAUAGAUACCCUGGUAGUCCACGCCGUAAACGGUGGGCACUAGAUGUGGGGCUCUUUCCAUGAGUUCCGCGUCGCAGCUAACGCAUUAAGUGCCCCGCCUGGGGAGUACGGCCGCAAGGCUAAAACUCAAAGGAAUUGACGGGGGCCCGCACAAGCGGCGGAGCAUGCGGAUUAAUUCGAUGCAACGCGAAGAACCUUACCAAGGCUUGACAUAUACGGUCUAUCCCUAGAGAUAGGGAGUGCUUCGGCGCCGUAUACAGGUGGUGCAUGGUUGUCGUCAGCUCGUGUCGUGAGAUGUUGGGUUAAGUCCCGCAACGAGCGCAACCCUCGUCCUAUGUUGCCAGCGGGUAAUGCCGGGGACUCAUGGGAGACUGCCGGGGUCAACUCGGAGGAAGGUGGGGAUGAGGUCAAAUCAUCAUGCCCCUUAUGUCUUGGGCUUCACGCAUGCUACAAUGGCCGGUACAAAGGGCUGCAAUACCGCAAGGUGGAGCGAAUCCCAAAAAGCCGGUCUCAGUUCGGA
rnacentral:rRNA from 1 species